CAGUGACAUUUGGGGUCAGUGGCACUUGGGGGUCAGUGACAUUUGGGGCCAGUGGCAUUUGGGGGUCAGUGGCAUUUGGGGACAAUGGCACUUGGGGGUCAGUGGCACUUGGGGGUCACUGACAUUUGGGGUCAGUGGCACUUGGGGGUCAGUGAGAUUUGGGGACAAUGGCACUUGGGGGUCAGGUGGUGACACCUCCACUCUGGGUGUCCCCAGCAGUCGGUGGCACUGUCCCCGCUGUCCCCUCCGCUCUUGGUGUCCCCACUCCCAGUGUCCCCUGCACUCCCGGUGUCCCCACAAUUGGUGACACUGUCCCUUGUGUCCCCUCUGUCCCCGGUGUCCCCACUCCCAGUGUCACCUCCACUCCCGGUGUCCCCAACAGUCGGUGGCACUGUCCCUGCUGUCCCCUCCGCCCCCCGUGUCCCCACUCCCGGUGUCACCUCCAGUGUUGUCCCUUCCUACGGUGUCAC
rnacentral:lncRNA from 1 species